GAGCUAAUCGGGGAGAUAACUAUUUGCUGUGCUGUAGGAGAUUACCAAGAGGGUUAACUGCUGAGCCCAGGUUUUCAGAAGGGCACUGAACUGUUCCAGGGCCUGCUCCAGUUGAGCCACUUGGCCUGAGAAUUCCUGCUCCGAAAGGGCCAUCUGGCUGACCAGGUUCUCCAAACAGCUCUGCGUUUGGAAUACACUGUCUUCCCACUGCUUCCAGUCGGCACGCAGGGCCUGCAUCUCCGUGUGCAUGAGCUCACACCCACUGGCAGUUGUGUUCUGUUUCACUUCGGGAGCCAGCGACUCCACUCUGCUGAGACGGCUUGCACCAAUCUCUCUGGAAUCUAUCAGCUCCUGUAAUGGAAUAUCACCAUGGUAACUGAAGAGCCUGUGAGUCACUUGGACUGCAAGUUUUCAACUGUGUACACAGGGGGACCCUGUCCUGCCAGGAAGUUUUAACAAGUGUGCCACAAGGACCCAGAAUCAAUUCAUCUGUCCACUCUUAAAUUAUAAUAGCGGGAGUUGUCAUCACGAGUGCCUAAGGCUUAUGGCAAAA
ensembl:lncRNA SYNE1-AS1 SYNE1 antisense RNA 1